rnacentral:rRNA from 1 species
GACGAACGCUGGCGGCGUGCCUAAUACAUGCAAGUAGAACGCUGAAGGAGGAGCUUGCUUCUCUGGAUGAGUUGCGAACAGGUGAGUAACGCGUAGGUAACCUGCCUGGUAGCGGGGGAUAACUAUUGGAAACGAUAGCUAAUACCGCAUAAGAGUAGAUGUUGCAUGACAUUUGCUUAAAAGGUGCAAUUGCAUCACUACCAGAUGGACCUGCGUUGUAUUAGCUAGUUGGUGGGGUAACGGCUCACCAAGGCGACGAUACAUAGCCGACCUGAGAGGGUGAUCGGCCACACUGGGACUGAGACACGGCCCAGACUCCUACGGGAGGCAGCAGUAGGGAAUCUUCGGCAAUGGACGGAAGUCUGACCGAGCAACGCCGCGUGAGUGAAGAAGGUUUUCGGAUCGUAAAGCUCUGUUGUAAGAGAAGAACGAGUGUGAGAGUGGAAAGUUCACACUGUGACGGUAUCUUACCAGAAAGGGACGGCUAACUACGUG